UUUUUUUUUUUGGUAGUGUUACAGUUUUAUACCUUUGUUAUAUUUUUGAGACCGAAAGAAAAAAAUUCUUGUGUGCUGUUAUUGGUUUCAAUCCAAGUGCACAACAGAUCAAAAACACGAGGGAGUGGAUAGAUAUGACAAGAAAGUAGAAUACGAGUGCAAUAUCUGCAAAACUGUUUGCAUUGUACACUCCAGAUUGCUUUGGCGUGUGUAUCAGGUCACGUUUAUGUAUCCAUGCUGUUUGUGUACACAGAUCACCGUUUUUAAUUAUCAUAGACUGGAAGCGGACGGCACUUAAAGAGUAUAACGUGGCAUGCCGUGCUACUUAAAUAACCGUUGCGUGGCUUAUAUCUGGGACUCAGACGGAAGGCAUCACCUUUCAUCAAAACACGUCCUUGUUUUCUUUUAUUUCCAAACAAAACCUUUUCAGUGCUGUGGAUUUUACAGUUAAUACGUUGUUGAAAGACGAAUGAGACGUUAUCUUCACCGUGAUAACACAGCACUCUACAGCUUGCUAGUGAAGACUGACACAAAGUUGCUUCUUUAACACAGAGAGCUUUGUUAUCAUUUUUCUUGCAAGGGACGUCUCUGUUUUCCCCUCAACCUUCUGUUUUAUUGCUGAAGGAUGUUUCAUGCCUUUUACCACAUACAGUGGCACAGCAAGACUAGCAGAAAGAGAAGUCUUGAUUGUCAACGCUCAAGGAGACGAGCAGGAGGAAGUGCAUGGACACAAUGCCACCCUCAUGUGCAUGGAGAGCUCCUCUUUACAAGUGGUUUCCUGGCUGUUCUGAGCAAUUGCUUUCUGGCCUUUUGUGCCUCUCAGAUGAUAAGACAAAGCUGAAAAAGCGACCUGGAGCUCAUGCAGUAGCACUAUUCUCCAGAUGGCUUUCCACAGCAUCGUCUUCCGUAACACACCAGCGAGCCACGAGACUGAGACAGAAAUUCCAAUGUGGGGAGGGUGUGAGUCAUGAGAUGUCACCUUCAGGCUUUGUCAGGACUGUGGAAAACUUUGCCAGAACUGGGGAACAUACAAACAAAUGAUGGCAACCUUCUCUGCCAAGCAGUGAGAUACUAACCAUUAGGAAGACACUGCUGCAGAGACUGAAACCAAACCCAUUUAUUCCUUGUUCUCAAGUCGUCUUGGGUUGGAAGCUGCCAAAAAAUUCUCUCCUGGAUAAAUAACUGUGAUGUCCCCAUCAAGCAUAUGUUGUCAGUGAGUUGGAUUUCUUCAUUCAAAUUGUUGAAAAUCUGUUCUGCUUGGAAGUUUCUCUCGCAGAGGAAUUAUUCAGCACCACAAAAGGAGUGUGCAGGGAUCCCAUCAAAGUUUAAAUGCUUUGAACUCACUCCUAGGCACAAGAAGACUUUACUACUUGAGAUUUUGUUUGGACAUAAAUGAGUUUUUGUCAUAGAUUGGGCAUCUUCUAACAUGGUCCCUCCAUAACAAAAUUUCUCAUCAUUCUGGAAGAAGAUUUGAGUAUUUGUUCUUUUGUUUGCAUUCAUCUUUAUUUAUUUUGUAUUCUUGAGAUGUGUUGCAUCUCUGGAGUUUGUAUUUCUACUUUUAGCGUAAAAAUGUUGUACAUAACAAGUCUAGAAUGCAUCUGAAGAGUAGUCUAAUUUUUCAAGUGACUUUGACUUGAACAUUUUUAUGUUUAUGUUUAUAUUGCUAUUUCAAAAAUGUGCAUUACCUGUAUUAUUUAUGCCUUUUCCCCAUCUAUAACUCAAUAAAAUUAUGUCCUCAUUCUGCAGAACCAUAUCAUGUGUGCAUAAGUGAUAAGUUUUUGAAUAAUAAUGACUGAUAAUUGCAAAUGGGUUAAUCUAUAUCUAUAUCUAACCUACAUAUAUCUGUCACAGCCUGAAAUUCUUCUGAUGUAGGAUUUGAGAUGGUGGAAAAAUUACUAGUAAGCGGUAAGCUGAGCUCAGGAAUAAUUCUUCAUAAGGCUAUUUGGACUUAAGAAGUAGAUUUUUUUCUUCCCUAAAGGUGUAUGCUCUUCAUUUCAGUUCUCAGCAUGGCUGAGUUUAGAACUCAGCCAUGUGAGUCAGUGGAGUGUUACCCGUUUCAUCAGGCUGCACAUGUCUUUUAUGUCACGACAGCCCUGGGAUAAAUAAAAGACUGAAGUAUGUCCUUUGUUGCAGAAUAUCACAUUUCUAAGGAGUGCUAGUUUAACCUUCCGGAGUUCCCAAUCACUGUAUGAUUAAGAAGGAAUAUAGCCCAGGAGAUCUGCCACUGGCCUGGACCAGCAGUGGCUUGGGUGACGUUGAACGGCCGAGCAGGAGUUUUCUUUGUGAGAGCAGGUAUAUUAGAUGCGUUCCAAACAUAUGGCUCUCAUUGGAAGUUAACAAAUACUAAUUUGUGUACAGAAAAUGUUCACUGACAGAAGAAACUUGAGGCCAUUGUACAAUAGUAGCUUUUUACUGCUGUAACAUUCCUUUGGGUCGCCAAAGUUUAGUGAAGUCAAUGGGAAAUUUUCUAUCAGGUGCAAUGGGUUGGCAACAUAUCCUUACUUCAGGUAAGACUCCAUCAAAUACAGUUAUUCACAAAACAUUCAAAGAGGGAAAGACAGUUCUCAUCCUUUUCUGUUUAAUGCUGUAUGCCAAGCCUGUGUUCAGGAGUUUAAAUAAUAAAUUGAAAAGUUCCCCAUUUCAAUAGAAUGAACCAAUUCAGUCUGCUACUCUGUAGGAUAUUUGUCACAACGAGAACAAUAGGACCUCCAGUGGGUUGUCUGAGGACUGAGAGAUGGCAGUAGUCAUGAUGACAGGUGACUAGUUGUUUUGCUAAUUAUCAGACCUAGCAUAAAGGACACAGCCAGCAGAAAGAUGAACCAAUAACCAAACUGUAUUUGACACAAA